rnacentral:rRNA from 1 species
UACAGAGGUCUCAAGCGUUGUUCGGAAUCACUGGGCGUAAAGGGUGAGUAGGGGGCGUGGUAAGUCAGAUGUGAAAGCCCGGGGCUCAACCCCGGAAUUGCAUCCGAUACUACCAUGCUAGAGUACUGAAGAGGUGACUAGAAUUCUCGGUGUAGCAGUGAAAUGCGUAGAUAUCGAGAGGAAUACCAAAGGCGAAGGCAGGUCACUGGGCAGUUACUGACACUGAGGCACGAAGGCUAGGGGAGCAAACGGG